GAACGCUGGCGGCGUGCCUAAUACAUGCAAGUCGAGCGAACGGACGAGAAGCUUGCUUCUCUGAUGUUAGCGGCGGACGGGUGAGUAACACGUGGAUAACCUACCUAUAAGACUGGGAUAACUUCGGGAAACCGGAGCUAAUACCGGAUAAUAUUUUGAACCGCAUGGUUCAAAAGUGAAAGACGGUCCUGCUGUCACUUAUAGAUGGAUCCGCGCUGCAUUAGCUAGUUGGUAAGGUAACGGCUUACCAAGGCAACGAUGCAUAGCCGACCUGAGAGGGUGAUCGGCCACACUGGAACUGAGACACGGUCCAGACUCCUACGGGAGGCAGCAGUAGGGAAUCUUCCGCAAUGGGCGAAAGCCUGACGGAGCAACGCCGCGUGAGUGAUGAAGGUCUUCGGAUCGUAAAACUCUGUUAUUAGGGAAGAACAUAUGUGUAAGUAACUGUGCACAUCUUGACGGUACCUAAUCAGAAAGCCACGGCUAACUACGUG
rnacentral:rRNA from 1 species